AACGUAGGUGACUAGCGUUAUCCGGAUUUACUGGGCGUAAAGCGCGUGCAGGCGGCUCGGCGAGUCGGGCAUGAAAUCUCCUGGCCUAACUGGGAGACGCUGUCCGAUACUGCCGGGCUUGAGGGCAGUAGAGGGUGGUGGAAUUCCGCAUGUAGUGGUGAAAUGCGUAGAUAUGCGGAGGAACACCAGUGGCGAAGGCGGCCACCUGGACUGCACCUGACGCUGAAGCGCGAAAGCUAGGGGAGCGAACGGG
rnacentral:rRNA from 1 species